UCACGCCUCCGGGAGAGUUUGAUUUGAGUCGGCAACGAUGGCAUUGUCGCAGUGGAAGGAAGCUAUCCUCGAAGGAAUUUUCACGGAGAUCGAGCAAGGACUCGUGGAGGAGAAGAAUCUCGAGCGGUUAGAGAAUCUAGUUGAAAUUCUCCACAAAGAAGGCUCGAAAGUCCCCCAAUCAGUGAAGGAAUCGUACUGUCAAGUAGCUCUAGAAUGUACAGCGAGGUGUCUCACUAACGAGAGAGACGCAAAAGAGGCUUACACUGAAGCAAUCAGAUCGAUUUGGCUCCGUAGGGUUAUGCCUCUGUGCGAUAAGGUCAGUUGCUUGGUUACUCGUGACCUCUUGUAUAGCUGUAAACGAUUAUGGACGGCUCAUGGUGAAGCUAAGGCUUGUGAAGCUCUGAUUGAUGAGAAUACGAGAGAGAAAGCUUUGGUUUCUUUGAGGAAAGUUGUUUCUGAGCUGCAUCCCAACAUUGAUUGUGCCUAUGGUGAGAGAGAUGAAUCUGAAGAGUCUAGUAAAGAAACAGGAGAGACAGAGCCAAUGGAGGAAGACGAAGGGAGACUCUCAGAUAUUGAAAAGGAAGGACCUUCUUGUGCGUUAGAAGGUGAAUCUCCGCCACGUCGGAUGAAGACCAUUUCCUCUGCAGUUGUUGCCAAGGCGCUCGAAGAGCUUAGAGCUUCUAAGAUCGACCUGAUGAAUGCCUUGGCAGAAGCAGGAGGACCUUCAAAUUGGAAGUUUGCUUCGACUACACAGCAAGAGAAUGAUGUUGCUGAUCCUCCUGCAGCAAACAAGCCUAGCUUGAUGGAGAGAAGAGCCACAGCACAGACUUAUGAGUGGGAAGACUCAAUUGAUGAUGAUUCAGAUGGAGAAAAUGGUGAAGGGGAUAAUGAACCAAGAGGUAAAAGGAUUGUGGUGUCUCCUUGGAAAAGAAACCUAGUUGGUGGUAGAAGGCCGAAGAUUCCUUGGAGUACUGCAGAAACGCUGGCCGUUAUGAAAGGCUAUGAAAAGUAUGGUGCAAACUGGAAGCGGAUCAAAGAUGAGUGUGAUAUUCUAGUGCGCAGAACUAAUGGUGAUAUUAAAGAUAAACAUCGAGUUGAGAUGAGACGUCUAGAGCGCCAUCCUUUGAGUAGUUGUGGAUCUGUGAGCAAAUGUAUAAUACAAAAUAUGUUCUCUGGAUUCUCAUGAAAGACUAUCGACUUCAGUACUUUACCAUGUGGUGACGCUGCUCAUGCUAUAAAAGGGAAUUGAGAAAAGACAUCAGACCUCUUUUGCGUUGACGAUUAACAAAAUGCUGAACAAAGAUGUGUUGUGGCAUCUAUGGAAUGUAAAAAAAAAAGGGUAACAUUUUGUCGCCUUGUCUUUAAACCCUUGAGAAUUUGUACAUAUGGUGAUGAUAAUAUCUAGUGACGCUGCUUGUUUAAGUAAACUAGGUUCCUUGAUCAAUCUAGGAGCAGUUCAUUUCGGUU